AGACCCGAAACCCGGUGAUCUAGCCAUGGGCAGGUUGAAGGUUGGGUAACACUAACUGGAGGACCGAACCGACUAAUGUUGAAAAAUUAGCGGAUGACCUGUGGCUGGGGGUGAAAGGCCAAUCAAACCGGGAGAUAGCUGGUUCUCCCCGAAAGCUAUUUAGGUAGCGCCUCGUGAAUUCAUCUCCGGGGGUAGAGCACUGUUUCGGCUAGGGGGCCAUCCCGGCUUACCAACCCGAUGCAAACUGCGAAUACCGGAGAAUGUUAUCACGGGAGACACACGGCGGGUGCUAACGUCCGUCGUGAAGAGGGAAACAACCCAGACCGCCAGCUAAGGUCCCAAAGUCAUGGUUAAGUGGGAAACGAUGUGGGAAGGCCCAGACAGCCAGGAUGUUGGCUUAGAAGCAGCCAUCAUUUAAAGAAAGCGUAAUAGCUCACUGGUCGAGUCGGCCUGCGCGGAAGAUGUAACGGGGCUAAACCAUGCACCGAAGCUGCGGCAGCGACACUCAGGUGUUGUUGGGUAGGGGAGCGUUCUGUAAGCCUGCGAAGGUGGCCUGUGAGGGUUGCUGGAGGUAUCAGAAGUGCGAAUGCUGACAUAAGUAACGAUAAAGCGGGUGAAAAGCCCGCUCGCCGGAAGACCAAGGGUUCCUGUCCAACGUUAAUCGGGGCAGGGUGAGUCGACCCCUAAGGCGAGGCCGAAAGGCGUAGUCGAUGGGAAACGGGUUAAUAUUCCCGUACUUGGUGUUACUGCGAAGGGGGGACGGAGAAGGCUAUGUUGGCCGGGCGACGGUUGUCCCGGUUUAAGCGUGUAGGUGUGUGUUCCAGGUAAAUCCGGUUCACUUUAACACUGAGGCGUGAUGACGAGGCACUACGGUGCUGAAGCAACAAAUGCCCUGCUUCCAGGAAAAGCCUCUAAGCAUCAGGUAACAUCAAAUCGUACCCCAAACCGACACAGGUGGUCAGGUAGAGAAUACCAAGGCGCUUGAGAGAACUCGGGUGAAGGAACUAGGCAAAAUGGUGCCGUAACUUCGGGAGAAGGCACGCUGACACGUAGGUGAAGUGAUUUACUCAUGGAGCUGAAGUCAGUCGAAGAUACCAGCUGGCUGCAACUGUUUAUUAAAAACACAGCACUGUGCAAACACGAAAGUGGACGUAUACGGUGUGACGCCUGCCCGGUGCCGGAAGGUUAAUUGAUGGGGUCAGCGCAAGCGAAGCUCCUGAUCGAAGCCCCGGUAAACGGCGGCCGUAACUAUAACGGUCCUAAGGUAGCGAAAUUCCUUGUCGGGUAAGUUCCGACCUGCACGAAUGGCGUAAUGAUGGCCAGGCUGUCUCCACCCGAGACUCAGUGAAAUUGAACUCGCUGUGAAGAUGCAGUGUACCCGCGGCAAGACGGAAAGACCCCGUGAACCUUUACUAUAGCUUGACACUGAACAUUGAGCCUUGAUGUGUAGGAUAGGUGGGAGGCUUUGAAGUGUGG
rnacentral:rRNA from 3 species